rnacentral:rRNA from 1 species
CGAGGAAUCUUGGUCAAUGGGCGCAAGCCUGAACCAGCGACGCCGCGUGGGGGAGGAAGGCCUUCGGGUCGUAAACCCCUUUUGGGCGGGACGAAGCCAGGGCGAGAGUUCUGGUUGACGGUACCGCCCGAAUAAGCCACGGCUAACUACGUGCCAGCAGCCGCGGUAAUACGUAGGUGGCGAGCGUUGUCCGGAUUUAUUGGGCGUAAAGGGCGCGCAGGCGGUGCGUCAAGUCCGGUGUCAAAUCUCCCGGCUCAACUGGGAGGGCGCGCUGGAUACUGGCGGACUGGAGACAGGCAGAGGCCGGUGGAAUUCCCGGUGUAGUGGUGAAAUGCGUAGAUAUCGGGAGGAACACCAGUGGCGAAGGCGGCCGGCUGGGCCUGGACUGACGCUGAGGCGCGAAAGCGUGGGGAGCGAACCGGAUUAGAUACCCGGGUAGUCCACGCUGUAAACGAUGGCCACUAGGUGUGGGGGGUAUCGACCCCCUCCGUGCCGCAGCUAACGCGAUAAGUGGCCCGCCUGGGGAGUACGGCCGCAAGGCUAA